rnacentral:rRNA from 1 species
UUUAGCCAUAAAAGUAUUAAAGGUCCCGCCUGCCCAGUGAUAAACCAAUUUAACGGCCGCGGUAUUCUAACCGUGCAAAGGUAGCGUAAUCACUUGUCUUUUAAAUAAAGACUUGUAUGAACGGCUAAAUGAGGACAAACCUGUCUCUUAUGACCAAUCAGUGAAACUGAUCUCCCAGUCCAAAAGCUGGAAUACCACCAUAAGACGAGAAGACCCUGUGGAGCUUCAAACUAACCAUUAACAAGCAAAACACCUGCACCUAAUGCACAGUUUUUAGUUGGGGCGACUUUGGAACAAAACAAAACUUCCAAGCACAGAGCCACACACUCCGGCCACGGCCAACAAGCCAAAGUCAAAAGCACAGAUCCAGUAACACUGAUCAACGGACCAAGUUACCCCAGGGAUAACAGCGCCAUCUUCUUCAAGAGUCCAUAUCGACAAGAAGGUUUACGACCUCGAUGUUGGAUCAGGACACCCAAAUGGUGCAGCCGCUAUUAAAGGUUCGUUUGUUCAACGAUUAACAGUCCUACGUGAUCUGAGUUCAGACCGGAGCAAU